rnacentral:miRNA from 10 species
ACACUUAAAUUUGAAUUUCAGAUAAACAAGGAAUUAUAUUUAAGAUAAAUAUGCUUCAUGAAAUAUUUAGGACAUACUUAUGUUAAAAAAAUAUUCAUUUUGUAUCCAAAAUUCAAAUGUAACUGUGCAUCCUGUAUUUU